rnacentral:rRNA from 1 species
GGAUUGCCCCAGUAGCGGCGAGUGAACAGGCAAAAGCUCAAAAUGGAAAUCCUUUUCACAGAGGGAAGGAAUUGUAAUCUAGAGGACGGUUGCGAAGGCAUAGUUUCAGCAUGAGUUCCUUGGAAUAGGACGCCAAAGAGGGUGAUAGCCCCAUACAUGGCUGAGACUGGCUGUAGGAGCUGUUUCAAAGAGUCGGGUUGUUUGGGAUUGCAGCCCUAAGUGGGAGAUAAACUUCUUCUAAAGCUAAAUAUUGAUGGGAAACCGAUAGCGAACAAGUACUACGAAGGAAAGAUGAAAAGAACUUUGAAAAGAGGGUUAAAAGACUUGAAAUCGUUGAGUAGGAAGCGGUUGGAGGGCAGUCACUUGCAACGAUAUUGGUGAGAGCAGGCCGGUCGCUGGAGGGGAUGGUACUUAACAGGGCCUACCAGUCAGUCGAUAACGGACAGCUACGCCUUAUUCGAAAGCAAAAGACAGAUUGGACAUCAGAGUGCGGGAAUAAACGUGGGGGGUCGCACUGAGCCCUAGUUGCUUGGAGCCCCUGCGCAGAAACCGGGACUCGGUGUUGAGGGAUCCUGCGGGAGAAUCUGUCGCGACGUCUCCAACUGACCCGUCUUGAAACACGGACCAAGGAGUGUACCAGUCAUGCGAGUGAUAGGGUGGAAAAACCCGAUCGCGCAGAGAAAUCGAGUAAAAGCAGCGAAUAACAAUGCAGCUGCGGCCUACCCUGAGUUUCUAACGAAGGGCUAGAGCAAGAGCAAGCUUGGUACGACCCGAAAGAUGGUGAACUACGCUUGAGUACGCCGAAGCCAGGGGAAACUCUGGUGGAAGGUGGAAGCGAUACUGACGUGCAAAUCGUUCGUCAAACUUGGGUGUAGGGGCGAAAGACUAAUCGAACCAUCUAGUAGCUGGUUCCCUCUGAAGUUUCUCUCAGGAUAGCUGAAGCCACCACAAAAGCAGUUUUAUCAGGUAAAGCGAAUGAUUAGAGGAUCCGGCGAUCAAAGAUUGUUGACCUAUUCUCAAACUUUAAAUUGGUAAGCACCCUUAGUUACGCUUAAUUGAACUAGGGGGUAGAAUGCAGGGCUUCAAGUGGGCCAUUUUUGGUAAGCAGAACUGGCGAUGAGGGAUGCUCCUUUCGUUGAGAUAAGGUGCCAAAGUACCCGCUUAUCAGACACCAUAAAAGAUGUUGGUUCAUUUAGACAGCAGGACGGUGGUCACCUGCCGAAUGAACUAGCUCUGAAAAUUGAUGGCGCUCAGCGGGACACCGAUACUCAACCAUUGCUGCAAAUAAGAUGCAUGCAAUGCGUAAGAGGGCGUGGACGUCCGGUGUGGAAGGCUAGGGUGUGAACCCGGCUGGAACGGCGUCUAGUGCAGAUCUUGGUGGUAGUAGCAAAUAUUCAAAUGAGAACUUUGAAGACCGAAGUGGGGAAGGGUUCCGCGAGAACAGCAAUUGGUCGCGGGUUAGUCGGUCCUAAGGCUAAGGCGAACGCCGAAAGCAUGGAGAACUUCUUGCUUCUCCGCUGCCGAAAGGGAAAGCGGUUAACAUCCCGCUACCUACAUACGGAUAUUAUGCGGCAACGCAAACAAUCCCGAAGACGUCGGCAUGUGUCACUGGAAGAGUUCUCUUUUCUUUUUAACUAGUCAUGACCACGGAACUGGAUUAUCCAGAGAUCUGGUUGUACGCUAGGCAGAGCAGUCCACUCUACGGGCUGUCAGUUGCACACAUGACGAUCAAUGAAAAUUCGGGGGCGAGGAUUAUUUCGUAGUAGGCCGUACCCAUAACCGCAUCAGGUCUCCAAGGUU